rnacentral:lncRNA from 1 species
CCCAUUUUAAUAUAUCCCGCCAGGUGUUUUAUUUUGUCAAACCGCAGGUCAAGAACAUGAAGAAACUAAUAUCAGCAAAUGUUUGCUGACAGAAAGAAUCAACACAUAUCUGUCGGCUUCACUAUUUUACCUUUGUUAAUAUCAGCAAAUUGAUUUUCUUUCGACUCUUUUGCUAUUUUAUCCUUCACUUUUUGUAUGUGCCAUGAAGGUGUAUUCUCAACACUGCAAAAGAACUCUUGAAAUUGACUCAUUAUGAUUUGUGUAAUUUUAAUAGGAAAAAGUUUAUGCUAAAGUCUAUUAUUUCCUUUGUAUUUUUACUUCUUUGAGAGCCUGAGAGAUGUCACUUUUUCGUUUACUUUUACUCUAUUAUGAGAUCCGUCAAACUUUCAUAUUGUUAUAGAGGUCACACUUUUAGUUAUCUUUAACACUUGUAAGGCUAUGAUCUAUGGAAAUAAAUCUUGGCAACAAUUAAUUUGGCAGUCAUACUUGUCGAAAUUACAAGUCACAAAUGUGAAAAUUGAUAGUCAUCAAUGUGAAAGUUGGUAGCCACAUUUGUGGAAGUAGGUAGUCAAAGUUUAGUAGAGUUAGACAGCCAAAUUUUUGUUGAAAUUUGCUACCACAUUAUGUCAUUGAUGAUGUAAACAAGUGUUCAAAAAAACUCUAUAAAUAGAGUAGCAAUUGAACACUUGAAGACACACCAAAAUAGAGAAGCAAUAGAGAAAAGAGAGAGUAAUCCACAAACUACUUCUUAGUUUGUGAGAAAAUAGUGUGCAAGUAAUACUAUUGUGAGUUGUAAGAAAUAAAAGUGUAACGACCUGUUUAGUCGUUUUGAGCUGUAGAGUUUAUUUCUGGUAAUAACUGUCUGAGUUGACGGAUCCCACGAUGGACCGUCAUGGGCACGACGGACCGUCGAGGGGGUCUCGUUCCAAAACACUUAGAUUCUAAAAAUUUGGGUACUGAGAACAACUCUCUGAACUUCGCGACGACAUGGCAGGACGGACCGUCGUAGGAACGACGGACCGUCACAGACUCUUUAAUGAAUUGAUUCUCUGGACUUUGUGACGGAAGCAGCAGGAUGGACCGUCGUAGGCACGACGGGCCGUCACAGACUGUGUAACCCUAACGGGGUCGGAUUUCUAUUAUUUUAAGGGGCGUUUUGGACUAUUCCUGCUUAUAAUUAUAAAGUUAGUGGUUUAAUGUUAAUAAUUCAAUUACUUGGGGGUUAAAAGAGAUAACCUUGAAUUAAUUAGUGGGUUACUUUUGUCAUCUUUCAUACUUAAUUAUAUGCUAAUUAGGGUAAAAGAAAAACAGGGUUGGAAUAAGAAAAAUAGAAAAGAACAGAGAGAGGGAGAAACGAUCGAUCAAGAGGAGAGAACGAAGAGGAAAGCAAAGCUUUGGAAAAGUAGAUUUCUGGAUCACGAAUUCUUCGGUGGAGGUAGGUUAUGGUUUAUGCUACUUCAUAGUAAACUCUUAAUAGCGAAUGAUAUGUGUUGGGUAGUAUUGUAAAGUCUUCUAUAUGCUUAAUUGUGUGCUCGCAUGAUGUGAUUUCAUAAUUGUGAUAAAUUAAGCAUGAUGAGGCGGUUGAAUCUUAAACCUUAAAACCUCUUUGUUAAUGAUGAUGCCUUGGUAUAAAAGAAGGCUUGAUGGACUAAAGGAAUGAGGUUAGGGGAUCGGGUGUCACGAACCGACACGUAGUAUUAAUAGAUCGGGUGUCACGAACCGACAUAUAGUAUUAAUGGAUCGGGUGUCACGAACCGACACGUAGUAUUAGGAGAUCGGAGUGUCACGUUCCAACACCAGGAUAGUAAAAAAAUGAUUUCGAAUUAUGUUAAUGUACUCAAUUUAAUGAACCUGUUUCCCAAAUGAGUAUGGUGUGGAGGCUUGAGUCCUCAUAGCUUUGCUUGAUGUUGAAAUUGAUGGUGUACCUGUUAUGGUGUUGUUGUCAAUGGUUCAUGUGUUUGUUGUUUGCUACCUGUUAAGUAUUGUAGUUGAUUUUAUGUUAUUAUUCGAUAUAUAUUGUUUUCUAUUUUGAGUUGGCCGAUGAUAUCUACUCAGUACUCGUGUUUUGUACUGACCCCUACUUGUAUGUUUUCUUUUUGUUAAUUGUGGAGUGCAGCAACCAUAUCGUCGUCUUCAAUUCAACCGCAACUCUAGCCAGUCUUCAUCACGUCAGAUUUCAGGGUGAGCUAUUGUUUCUAGCUUGGAUUGGAUCUUCUUCUUCACGUCUUGAUGCCUUGAUGUUCUGGCAUGGACUAUCGUUUUAGUUAUUUUAGUUUCUUAGAUAUUCUUAGACUUAGUAAUUUGAGGAUAGAUGUUCUUGUGAUGAUGACUUCCAGAUUUUGGGGAUAAUGAUAAGUUUGAGUUUUAGAAAUUAAUUAUUGAUUUCGUUAAUGAGUUUAAAGUCUUCCGCAUUAUUUUUCUGUUUAUUAUGAUUGAAAUGUUGUGGUUUAGAUUGGUUGGUUCGCUCACAUAGUAGGAUAAGUGUGGGUGCCACUCGCGGCUCGUUUUGGGUCGUGACAAAAAGAGUGUUGAGUAGUAGUCUUUUGACACUACUAAAUUUUUCAUCAAUAUUAUUGUAUUACUUAUUCGGGU